GCGAGUAUGGCCCUCACGGGUCUAAUCCACCAUAAACACCUUUGUGAACCAGUCAGGGGGACUCGGCCGCGAAAGCCCAGGCGAUUAGCGGAAGGGCCCUCCUUUGCAAACCCGUUUUAGAAGUCUUGAAAGUACUUUUGUAUAAUCUAGUA
rnacentral:misc_RNA from 1 species